rnacentral:rRNA from 1 species
CCCUUAGAUGUCCUGUGCUGCACGCGCGCUACACUGAUGUGUCCAGUAAGCACCUAACCUCUUCCGAAAGGAACGGGUAACCUUUGCAAAGCACAUCGUGAUGGGGAUAGAUUAUUGCAAUUAUUAGUCUUGAACGAGGAAUUCCUAGUAAGCACAAGUCAUCAGCUUGUGUUGAUUACGUCCCUGCCCUUUGUACACACCGCCCGUCGCUCCUACCGAUUGAAUGUUCCGGUGAGCUCUUCGGACUGCGCGGUCUGCAGUUUCUGCGUUCCGUGCGGAAAGUUGCGCAAACCUUAACAUUUAGAGGAAGGAGAAGUCGUAACA